AUGCUAGUACACCAAAGCAUAGAGUCGCUUGUCAUCGAGAGAUUGGACAUCCCAGCCACAGCACAGAGAGCCCUUCCGUCGAACGAGACUCAUUCAUCUUCUUGGAUGAAGACUAUCGAGAGUUGGAACAUGAUGAACUAUCACCAGUCAAGAUUACGAGGACGAUGGGAACCUUGGUAUUAUGAUUUCUACAAUUACCUCAAGGACGGGUUCAUAUCAGAGUACGCCACUCGUGGUCAGAGGAGAGCCUGGAGGAGAACUUGCCCGACGAUUUGUGAUCUUGGGAGAUGUCCUUUACAAAAGGUCCUUCAAGGGGUACUCGCCCUUCCUUAG
rnacentral:lncRNA from 1 species